rfam:Rattus norvegicus chromosome 7, whole genome shotgun sequence.
GGGGAUUUAGCUCAAUGGUAGAGCGCUUGCCUAGCAAGUGCAAGGCCCUGGGUUCGGUCCCCAGCUCCG